rnacentral:lncRNA from 1 species
GGGAUGAAUAUUUUCUGAUCUAUGAUCCAUGAAGCAUAUGAAAGAUUGGAUUUAAGUACUAAUUAAUUUCAAAUUAGAUCUAAAUUAAUGAAGCUUAAUUAGAUCUAAAAUUUAAGUUAAAUUUGGUACAAAAGUCUUAAAGAGUUUGGGAUUGAUAGUCUUUCUAAAUUAUUUCGAUCCAGCUUCAAAUUGGAUUCGAAUUGUA